rnacentral:lncRNA from 1 species
AAGAAAUCACGAUUACAAUUCUCAGGAUCGUUUGGUGGCUAACAACAAAAACCUAAAUAAAAUAUAACUCGAUCCCCUGGGCAAAUUAAAUGAGACCUAUUAUAACAAUGUUUGGGAAAACCUUAAAACAUAAAACGACAACGUAAAAGCGGUUCAAAAGUUGUUGUGACUAAGUUGGUCGAGUGAGAAUCUCGAGUGAGCAUCUUCUCUGCUUUGCUCGAUCGUGUCACUCGAGUGUGCACGUCGAGUGACAGUUGUUUCGCAUUCCUUCGGUUCAAUCGGUCACCCUACUCGAUCAACUGCUCGAUCCGCUACUCGAUCACCCUACUCGAUCACGUCCAUCGAGUGAAGUAUGUUCCUGCAACGCAUCCCUGCUUCUCACUCGAUCGUCCCACUCGAUCAUAUGCGUGUCGAGUAACGCUUGUUCCUCUGCUUCGCUCUGCAAACACUCCAAACAUGCAGAAUGUAUGCAAGACAUGCAUGAUAUGCAUGAAACCUACCUAAGUAUGUAAAACAUGCAGAAAGUGAUCAAUAUGAUGCGAAUCAACAAGUGAACGAUGCUGAAAAGAUGAUGAAUACAUGCUCAAAAAGUGAUGAAAUACAAACUUAUCAACUCCUCCAAACUUAGUCUUUGCUUGCCCUCAAGCAAAGCAAAAAGAAACAAAGUGGAAGAGAUGUUUGAAAAUGGGGUCUCAGAACCUGUAAGUUGCAAGAUAGAACAGUUAAAAUCAAUGUCAUGGUUGCUAAGUCUAUGAUGCAUGCUGAGAGAACUUCACUUAAAGACUUUAGACAAACUCAUCAAAUCCGAAACUGAUUAUAUCCCUUGAUCUACACAUGCAUUCAAAUCAUUCAUUCCUUUUAACAUUCAUUACUCAAGUAUAUGCAUCUGGUUGUGCAAGGCUUAAUAAACUCACUUGGCUAGGCAGAAAAAGGUUUUGAGAAUCAAGAGGGUUUAAACAAUUUCAGGACAAGGAUCUCUCAAUGAAUGGAUUGAGCUUUAGGGAGAAUGCUAAAGGUAAGGACCAACAAAUGCAUACAGGAAUAAAACCUUGACUACCCAAUGGUUCCCAAGUGCUUACUCCUAAUCGUCUAAACUAGAAUGAUCCCUAUGUCUACCCUUUAACAUCAAUCCCAUUUUUUUUUUUUUUACCUUAGGAGAAGUUUCUUAUCAAUACUAGUGGAUAGGGGGUUUCUUCUUUACUAUGGUUCUGUUUUCUUCUUACGUUAUAAGACAUCAAAGCUUUUUCUCUUUCUUUACAUCCCAGAACCAUUCUCUGUAUAUCAUGCUAUCCCCAUAAAAAUCAAUCACUAGAGUAUAAACUUCUAGAAAAACAUUCUCCUCCUAAGGACACAACUUUUUCUGUUUCUCUUCUUUCUUUCCACAAUCAUUCCAAUCUCAAACCCAAGUAAGAAUCCAGACCUAGUCCUAUCUGAUUUGAAAGUGAAAAUCAGAACUACUCAAGAUUUUAAUCCUGUCGGCUCAUACCUAACAAGUUCUCCCCAAGCAUAAUCCGGUAAAAGACCUACCACUCAAAAAUUAUCAAUUGGCUUGAAAGAAAAGGAUAGGCUGUGGGUAUGGCAAACUGAUCAAAAGAAAGAUCAGCUACUUGGAUCAACAAGAGUGGUGAAAGGAGGAAGAUGAUCCAAAUAUGUAUAUGGUGACCAUGAGCAUGCAAGCAAAACACAACCAGAUAUUUGCAGGUCAAGAUUAAGUUCUUAUAAGGUAAGGAAUGAGAUCAUAUCACAACAUGUUUCAACCAAGUUCAAGAAUGCUCUCCAUUAAUUCCAAGUUUGUUUCAGACUUACUUCAAGUUCAAUCAUCAUGCAUCAAAGAGCUAAAAACCAGGGCAUUGAUCUCAACUGGUGAAUCAUAGCAAGUUAACAAGGUGUAAAUCAUCAUCGCCCCCUAUGCUAAUGCAACGGUCCUACAUGAAACAAUCUAGACUCAAUCCUAGUUUGCAAAUGCAAGCUACAUGAUCACUCUGUUUUAAAAGUUUUUUUCUGAAAAUUUUCAAAUUUUUAGGGGUUUUCAAUGCACAUAUAUGAAUACAAAUUAUAUUCUAUAAUUUCAAAAUAAGAAAAGUGAACACAACAUCAAAUGUCAUCCCAAACCCUCCCCCAAACUUAAAUUACACAGUCUCUUGUGUAAUAAAAAUUUGAGAGUUGGUUUGAGAAUCAAACAAACAAAAGUAUGAAAAUGCAAUGGUAUAUACGGAUGAAGGUUUGGAGUGGUACCUUACUGAAAAUAUCAGUCCAGGUAUUGAGUCAUGGAUUCGCUUGUAUAAGCACCUGGUGCAGGCUGCGCAGGAGGAGCUUCUGUAGGAUGCUCAACGUUGAGUGAGCAAACGGCGAGAUUGAGAGAUCCUGUCGAGUGAGCUGAAAUCUGACGAGUCGAGCUAGAGCUUCAUCGUCGAGUGGCGAGGAGCUCGCUUGGCCGGUGGAACGGGAGCAGACGGUGGUGAGACUGUCGAGUAGAGAUCGACAGAGUACGAGUGCGGUCGACUGAGAGACAGCUCGAGUGCGCUGGUCGAGUAACGGUGAGUCGAGUGGUUUUUGAGAAGACCGUAUGAGUUGAGUGAGAGGGAGAACCGAAUGAUUUGGAGAGUGGUGAUGGAGUGAG